AUGGUGGACUUCGAUACCUAUGAUGACUGGGCCUAUAGCAGCUUUGGUGGUGGCAGAGGGUCCCGUGGCAGUGCUGGUGGCCAUGGUUCCCGUAGCUAGAAGGAGCUGCCCACAGAACCCCCCUACACAACCUAUGUAGGAAACCUCCCUUUCAACACAGUUCAGGGUGACAUAGGCGCUAUCUUUAAGGAUCUCAGCAUAAGGAGCGUACAGCUAGUCAGAGACAAAGACACAGACAAGUUUAAAGGAUUCUGUUAUGUAGAAUUCAGUGAGGUUGACUCCCUCAAGGAAGCCCUGAUAUACGAUGGUGCACUAUUGGGUGACCGGUCACUUUGUGUGGACAUUACAGAAGGCAGAAAACAAGAUAAAGGUGGCUUUGGAUUCAGGAAUGGCAGACCAGAUGACAGAGAUUACAGGGAUGACUUCCUAGGAGGCCGAGGAGGCAGUCGCCCAGGGGACCGACGAGCAGGACCUCCCAUGGGGAGUCGCUUCUGAGAUGGCCCACCACUGCACAGCUCCAACAUGGACUUCUGAGAACCCACAGAAAAGGAACGAGCACAGAGACCACGGCUCCAGCUCAAACCUCGGACAGUGGCAACAGCCCUCAACCAAGUAGCCAACCCCCAACAUCUUUGGGGGAGCCAGGCCCGGAGAGGAAGUCGUGAACAAGGAGCAGGAAUGAGCAUGCAGCGGGAAUGGGGUGUGGGGAGUUAGAGCGAGACCGCAGCCAACAGCCUGGACCGGCCACCCCGCAGACACCGUUCCUGUACCUGGCACUGUCCUCCUUCCUUACAGUGGAAACACCGAGCUUGUGAAUGCAUGUCAGCUGUUAACGAGUGGUUUUUAGUACAUCCUUGGCUUUGCUGUACCUAGCUAGUGCCUGUUUUGUGCUCUUUAGUUUUUUCC